UAGUGGGUCACCAUAGAAUCAAAAAGUACUGGACACCAUGGCAACACUGAUGAGCUCAACAUGCUUCUUCUUCCAAUCCUUCAGGCAUACGAUGUUGAUUUUUAUAUCAACGGCCAUGACCAUUGCUUGGAGCAUAUUAGCAGCAGUGAGAGUCGGAUUCAGUUCUUAACAAGUGGAGGUAGAUCAGACGCAUGGAAAGGAGACAUCAAUCCAUGGAAUCCAGGAGAAAUGAAAUUCUAUUAUGAUGGUCAAGGCUUCAUGUUAGUUGAAAU